rnacentral:rRNA from 1 species
ACGAACGCUGGCGGCAGGCCUAACACAUGCAAGUCGAGCGCGCCCUUCGGGGUGAGCGGCGGACGGGUGAGUAACGCGUGGGAACGUGCCCUUUUCUACGGAAUAGCCUCGGGAAACUGAGAGUAAUACCGUAUACGCCCUUUGGGGGAAAGAUUUAUCGGAAAAGGAUCGGCCCGCGUUGGAUUAGGUAGUUGGUGGGGUAAUGGCCUACCAAGCCGACGAUCCAUAGCUGGUUUGAGAGGAUGAUCAGCCACACUGGGACUGAGACACGGCCCAGACUCCUACGGGAGGCAGCAGUGGGGAACCUUAGACAAUGGGGGCAACCCUGAUCUAGCCAUGCCGCGUGAGUGAUGAAGGCCUUAGGGUUGUAAAGCUCUUUCAGCUGGGAAGAUAAUGACGGUACCAGCAGAAGAAGCCCCGGCUAACUCCGUG